GUGGCAUGGGUUGUCUUAGUUGUGUCUCCAGUUGUGUUGGCAGAGGCUGUCGUAGUGGCGUCUACAGUUACGGUGGCAGGGGCUGCAGUAGUGGUGGCAGUGGCUGCUGUCGAGGUGGCAGGGGUUGUCUUAUUGGUGUCUGAAGUUGUGGUGGUAGCGGCUGUUAUCAUAGUGGCAGCUGCAGUUGAUGUAGCAGCUGCACUUGUGGUUGCAAUGGCUGCUGUUCUUGUAGCGGCUAAAGAGUUGGUGGCAUGGGCUGUCUUAGUGGUGUCUCCAGUUGUGGUGGCAGGGGCUGUCGUAGUGGCGUCCUUAGUUAUGGUGGCAGGGGCUGCAGUAGUGGUGUCAGCUGCAGUUGUGGUGGUAGCGGCUGUUAUCAUAGGGGCAGCUGUCGUAGCAUAUGCACUUGUAUUUGCAGUGGCUGCUGUUGUGGUAGCGGCUAAAGUUGUGGUGGCAGGGGGUGUUGUCGAAGUGGCAGCUGUCGUAGUGGCGGCUGCAGUUGUGGUUGCAGCUCUUGUGGUACCAGCUGGAGUUGUGGUGGCAGUUGCUACUGUUGUAGUGGCUGCUGUAGUUGUAGUGGCGGCUACAGUUGUGCUGCCG
rnacentral:lncRNA from 1 species